rnacentral:lncRNA from 1 species
UUGAAAUGUGGAUGAAAUUAAGCUAUGUAUUACCUGGAACUCCUAUUGAGAGAUGAUGUUAAAGACAAUGAAAAGUUAGACCAAAGGAAAGAGCAUGAGGAGGCAUUUAUAAAGGAGAUUGGAAACAAAUGACAGCCAGGCUUCCUGGAUGAAUUUUGCUGACCACUUGGGAUCCUGCCUAAAGGAAAGCCUUGGGAAACUAAUUUACAACUGUGUAUAAAGUGAGAGAACUCCACAGAGAUUUGCCUUUGAAGAUUUUCUAGUUGCAUGUGACCAAGAUUUGCUGUAAUAGACUACUCUUUGUUAUAUGAACUAACAAAUGAGUAUUGAGUCGGCCAGAUAGAACAGGUCUCUGAAAACUGAGACUACCUAGGAAAUGAAGAAAAAAUAUCUUAGUGUCUUCAACAUCAUUCUAUUGGCAGAAAUAAGACUCAUUUUCUGGAGAGAAUUUUAAAUGGGCCCUAUUCCUCUUUGAAACAUUUGAACAGACAUAAAACACAAUUCAUCAAUUUUCCUAUCAGAUCCUUUUAUUGCAGCAGAAAAUUGUUCCAAAUAAAUUCUCGUGAUAAAGCUUGUAAUAGUGAAUACAAUAGAAUGCUGAAAGUAUUGUGUGAACAGAAAUAAUAAAUAUGGUAUCCAAACCCAUUGUAAGUUUCAGUAAAUCAUAUCCAUCAACUCAUUUCUCUUGAAUAAAAGAGAACUGUGAUUUUA